rnacentral:rRNA from 1 species
UACGUAGGGUGCAAGCGUUGUCCGGAAUUAUUGGGCGUAAAGAGCUCGUAGGCGGUUUGUCGCGUCAGCUGUGAAAACUCGGGGCUCAACCCCGAGCCUGCAGUCGAUACGGGCAGACUAGAGUGCGGUAGGGGAGACUGGAAUUCCUGGUGUAGCGGUGAAAUGCGCAGAUAUCAGGAGGAACACCGGUGGCGAAGGCGGGUCUCUGGGCCGUAACUGACGCUGAGGAGCGAAAGCGUGGGGAGCAAACAGG